rnacentral:lncRNA from 1 species
AUGCGCGUUAAGAGAUGGCCAACAUGUAGUUCCAAUACUUUGGAAUCCGUGAAGUACUGGAAAACAGCUGAUAGACAAAUAAUCCACCUGGGAUGGUGGGAAGGGAGGGAGACCAGGUGUGCCUGUGGAGCAAAGGCUGUGAGCAACCAUGUAGCUUGGGAGCAGAGCUACCCAGUAGCCUUCUCGGGUGAUGAUAAUUACAGCCAAACAGAAAGUUCCCGUCACGCUCUCUCACAGCAGUGGUGCGAGAGGCUCUCCUCAUCACCCACACUCAAGACCAGCAUGACACAGAGCUCCACCAUGAUGGGCAGAUGUGAAGACAUGCCGAAUUCUGAAGCUUGCAAGAAAACGUACGAGUUGGAAGUUUUUUUUUAAGCAGUAGUCAAAUAUUAUUGCUAAAGGAAAAAAAGGACAUUGAACUCAGCACUAAGGGUAACUGAAACCUAAUGCAAAAAAGCAAAGGUAAGUUGGAAAUACAGACAAUUUUCUUCUGGCCAAGAUUUCCUCUCACCAAAGAAUCUUGUAAGGCGUGGACUUCUCAGACCUCUAAAAACUUUUCAAAAAGUCUCUUUCUUCCGUGGAUGGCCAAAGAACAGUUGUUCCCUGGUUCCCAACCAACAUCACAUUUGCCCUUAUCAUUUCUUUUACUUACAAAUGUUAGCUAACUUGUCCAAAACGGGAUUGAAAUAUUAGUUCUCCCCACACCACUGAACAGAUCUGACAAAGAACCAGCUCUAUAAACACUAAAGUUUUUAAUGGAUGAAACUAAUAAUCAUAACAAAAGCUAAAGAAAGACCGUUUCCAGGGCUGUGCAUAUAGCUGGUGCUAAGUACUGAGCAUAAAGGGUAACUUACUGUCUCACAGAAAAUGGUCACAAAAACCUCCUCUUUAUAAAUGGAUGCUCCUAAACUUUCAGUGAAUUUCCAACCCAUUUUCAAAGCCCUUAGUCAUGUUUGUAGAGAACAUUAAUAACCUGCAGUAACUUCUGCCCAUGUAGCCCUAUACUCUACAAAGAAUGUAACCAUCGGAUCUGUGUGAUGGAGGAAGCCUCUCCUGCCAUCCAAAUAUGAAGCCCUCAGAAAGAUUCUAGCACCUCCACAGUAUUUAUAGGUAAGGAAUGCUCUCAAAGACAGUACUAAUUUCCCAGAAGGAGCUCAACAAAUUAAACAGGGGAACACAAGUGGGAGUGCUUUAGUGUUAACUUAGCCAGAGCUUGUCGCUCAAGGGAACACUGAGCGGGAAGGAGGCACAAAACAUUGGGACGAAACAUUUUCAUUGGUGACAAGUAACAAAAGUUUGGUGCAAACUGUAAAGAUCAACUCAGCAGAGAGACCCUCACAUUUCAGAGAAAUUACAGACAAGCCUAUUGCAUAGC